UAGGGAAUCUUCCGCAAUGGGCGAAAGCUUGACGGAGCAACGCCGCGUGAGUGAUGAAGGUCUUCGGAUCGUAAAACUCUGUUAUUAGGGAAGAACAAAUGUGUAAGUAACUAUGCACGUCUUGACGGUACCUAAUCAGAAAGCCACGGCUAACUACGUGCCAGCAGCAGCGGUAAUACGUAGGUGGCAAGCGUUAUCCGGAAUUAUUGGGCGUAAAGCGCGCGUAGGCGGUUUUUUAAGUCUGAUGUGUAAGCCCACGGCUCAACCGUUGAGGGUCAUUGGAAACUGGAAAACUUGAGUCCAGAAGAAGAAAGUGGAAUUCCAUGUGUAGCAGUGAAAUGCGCAGAGAUAUGGAGGAACACCAGUGGCGAAGUCGACUUUCUGGUCUGUAACUGACGCUGAUGUGCGAAAGCGUGGGGAUCAAACAGG
rnacentral:rRNA from 1 species